GAAAACAAAAAAUCAUGGCGGUAUCUUAAGCUUUUCAGAGGAAUUUGCUCUUUAAUGGAUAAAACACCCAAAUCUUACUGAAAUUGGUUAAGACAGUUUGUAUACCACUAUUUAAGUAAUUAUUAAUUAUAAUUACUGUAAAUUUUAAACAAAAAAAAAGUUAAGUCAAGGUGCAGCUUAAAUUUUAGGAUGAAGUGAAUUACAAUGCUUUUUAGAGAAGUGAUUAAAAAAAAUUAGGAUUUGAAAGUAAAAAUUUUAAUAGAAUGAUUAUUUGAAUUAAGCUCUGAGAUAUGUA
rnacentral:rRNA from 1 species